GAGACAGCAGUCGCCGCGGUAAUACGAAGGGUGCAAGCGUUAAUCGGAAUUACUGGGCGUAAAGCGUGCGUAGGCGGUGAGUUAAGUCUGCUGUGAAAUCCCCGGGCUCAACCUGGGAAUGGCAGUGGAUACUGGCUCGCUAGAGUGUGUCAGAGGAUGGUGGAAUUCCCGGUGUAGCGGUGAAAUGCGUAGAGAUCGGGAGGAACAUCAGUGGCGAAGGCGGCCAUCUGGGACAACACUGACGCUGAGGCACUAAAGCGUGGGGAGCAAACAGGAUUAGAUACCCGCGUAGUCCCUGUCUCUUAUAC
rnacentral:rRNA from 1 species